rnacentral:rRNA from 2 species
CUACGGGAGGCAGCAGUAGGGAAUCUUCCACAAUGGACGAAAGUCUGAUGGAGCAACGCCGCGUGAGUGAUGAAGGUUUUCGGAUCGUAAAACUCUGUUGUUAAAGAAGAACAAGUGUUAGAGUAACUGUUAACACUUUGACGGUAUUUAACCAGAAAGCCACGGCUAACUACGUGCCAGCAGCCGCGGUAAUACGUAGGUGGCAAGCGUUGUCCGGAUUUAUUGGGCGUAAAGCGAGCGCAGGCGGUUUUGUAAGUCUGCUGUGAAAGCCCUCAGCUCAACUGAGGAAGUGCAGUGGAAACUACAAAACUUGAGUACAGAAGAGGAAAGUGGAACUCCAUGUGUAGCGGUGAAAUGCGUAGAUAUAUGGAAGAACACCAGUGGCGAAGGCGGCUUUCUGGUCUGUUACUGACGCUGAGGCUCGAAAGCAUGGGUAGCGAACAGGAUUAGAUACCCUGGUAGUCCAUGCCGUAAACGAUGAAUACUAGGUGUUGGAGGGUUUCCGCCCUUCAGUGCCGCAGCUAACGCAUUAAGUAUUCCGCCUGGGGAGUACGACCGCAAGGUUGAAACUCAAAGGAAUUGACGGGGGCCCCCCNAAGUGGUG